AACAUGUCUUUUUGAUUAUAAUAUAAAGUYUAAUCUGCUCCAUGAAUUAUUUAAAUAGCUGCAGUAUUUUAACUGUACUAAGGUAGCAUAAUCAAUAGUUUUUUAAUUAAAAGCUGGAAUGAAUGAUUUAAUAAGGUAAAUAUUGUCUCAAUAUUAAUAAAAUUAUAAUUUUUUUUUUAGUAAAAAAGCUAAAUUAAAUUUAAAAGACGAGAAGACCCUAUAGAUUUUUAUAUUUUAGAUUAAUUAGAUUUUAAAUAAUUAAUAAAUUUUAAUUAAAAAAUAUUUAGUUGGGGAAAUUAUUAAAUUGAAGAAAUUUUAAUAAAUUUAAUUACAAUAAUUAUUGAUAUUUUGUUAGAAUUUGAAUAAAAAUUAAUAGAAUAAAUUACCUUAGGGAUAACAGCGUAAUUUUUUUGAAGAGAUCAUAUUGAUAAAAAAGUUUGCGACCUCGAUGUUGAAUUAAGAUAAAAUUUUAUUGAAGAAAAUAGAAAUUUUUGGUCUGUUCGACCAUUAAAAUCUUACGUGAUCUGAG
rnacentral:rRNA from 1 species